UUACCUUUCCUUAUUCGGGACUAGGGUUAUCACUUCCCCAAUCGCUCCCUUCAUCAAGAUCUAUUCCUACUCCACCAACACAAUAAUUUAUAUAUGGUCUAAUCUGGACAAUGGGUAGCCAAGUUCCCACAGGCAAUGACCGUUCACGAACUUACUGGACUCCAACGAUGGAGCGUUACUUUGUAGAUCUUAUGCUGGAACAUAUUCAAAAAGGGAAUAGGGUUGGACAUACAUUUAACAAACAAGCAUGGACUGAUAUGCUUGCUGUCUUUAAUGCAAAAUUUGGAUCACAAUAUGAUAAAGAUGUACUGAAAAGUCGUUAUACGAAUUUGUGGAAGCAAUUUAAUGAUGUCAAGAAUAUGCUUGGUCAAGGUGCAUUUUCUUGGGAUGAAAAUCGGCAUAUGGUGGUUGCAGAUGAUUAUGUUUGGGAUUCCUACAUCAAGGCACACCCAGAUGCACGGCCAUACAAGACCAAAGCAGUGCAGAACUUCAGUGAUUUAUGUUUGAUAUAUGGGUAUACCACUGCUGAUGGAAGAUAUAGUCGGUCAAGUCAUGAUAUGGAUAUUUGUGAUGAAACCCAUGGAGUGAAUUUAGGUGAUGGACUUGGAAGUCCAACUCCUUCAAAUACUGAGCGUUCAAGGACAGAUUGGACAUCAGCCAUGGACCAGUUUUUUAUCGGUUUAUUAUUAGACCAACGUGAAAAAGGCAAUAAACUUGAUAAUUCAUAUACCAAAGAAGCAUGGACUGAGAUGCUCACUUCUUUCAAUGCAAAAUUUGGCCCCCAACAUACCAAAAGAGUCUUAAGACAUCGGUACAAGAAACUCUUCAAGUAUUAUACUGAUAUGGCGGUUUUGCUCAAACAAGAUGAUUUUUCCUGGGAUGCAAAGGAGCAAAAGGUAGUCGCUAAUGAUGAUGUUUGGGAUGCUUACAUAAAGGCACACCCACAAGCACGAUCAUAUAGAACAAAAUCUAUGCCAAAUUAUACAGAUUUGGAAUCAGUAUUUGGCAGUGUGAUCAUAAAUGGAUCUCAAAGUAAUAACUUGGAUAAGUACCUUGAAGAAGAUAUAGUAGGAUCUAAGACUGGUAACGAACGCUCCAGAACGUAUUGGACGCCGCCGAUGGACCGUUAUUUGAUCGACUUAUUGCUUGACCAAGUGAACAGAGGAAACAGAAUUGGGCAGACAUUUGUUGCUCAGGCUUGGAUUGACAUGGCUAAAUCGUUUAAUGCCAAUUUUACAUCUAACCAUGACAAAGAUGUUUUGAAGAAUAGAUACAAACAUCUGAAGAGGCAGUAUAAUGACAUAAAAACCCUUUUGAAGGAGACUGGAUUUUCUUGGGAUGAUGCACGAGAAAUGGUGGCAGCCUCGGAUCAUAUUUGGGAUGCUUACAUUGAGGUACAUCCUGAUGCAAGAUCUUACAGAGUUAAAACUGUGCCUAAUUACCACAAGUUGUGUAUUAUUUAUGGUGAAGAUAGUUCUGAGGGACGAUAUAGUCGUUUGGCACGCAAUGUAGCCUUAGAUGUUGCUCCCAUCUCAAGUAUAGGUGAAAGUAACGACAGCCAUUUAUUUUCCGAGACAAAAGAAGAUAACGAUUGGACAUCCGAAAUGGAUGAAUGCUUUAUUGAACUUCUGCUAGAGCAGGUGCACGGAGGGAAUAAGAUUGUUCAUGGUUUUGAUGACCAAAUUUGGACGGUGAUUACAACAUCAUUUAACGAAAGAUGUAGAUUACAACAUGACAAUCAAAGUCUACGAAAUCGAUACACGUACUUCAUGAAACAGUUUAAUGAAGUCGAAUGUCUUCUUAAUCAAAAUGGUUUUUCGUGGGAUGACACUUGCCAGACAAUUGAUGCUAAUGAUGAGGCAUGGGAGGCUUAUAUCAAGGAACACCCUCAAGCAACUUCAUUCAAGGGCAGAGUCUUGAGACACCACAAAGAUUUGUAUACCAUUUUAGGAGGUGACACCAUGUAUGAAGGCUUCUGUUCGGAGAACAUAACAACAAAUUCUGAUUAUCGAUCAGGCAUCGAGAACGUUGAAAUUGGUAAAAAUUGUCAAAUAUUGCCUAAAGAAACCGAAACAGUUAACAAGAAGCAAAAACGGGUGACGGAGAUGCCAUUAGCUUUAGGACGUUUUGUCAAAGUGCAAAAAAACGAAAAAGAUGAUAUAACGGAAGCUUUUACUGAUAUGGCUAAUGUAGUUUCAAAGUUGCUGAAUGGAAAGACGGAAAAGAACUACGUUUCCAUAGAAAGAGCAGUUGAUGCACUUCAAGCUAUACCCGACAUAGAUGAUGAUCUUUUAUUGGAUGGUUGUGAUAUUCUUGAGGACGAGAAAAAAGCAAAGACCUUUUUGGCAUUGGAUGCUUCAUUACGAAAAAAAUGGUUGCUAAGAAAGCUUGGACGCUAGUACGGGUACAUUUUAUGAAACUUCUUUUACCAUUUAAAGUCGAGGAGCUUAUAGCUUAUGGUUUCUAAUUUUCUUUUUUUACUUAGACCCUACUUCUGGAUGGGUAUACUGGGUUUCUUUGGUUUGGUUAUUAAAUGUGGAGGAGCAUUGGUGCACCAUGGUCUUAUGGGUUUUUGGCUAGUCUUAUAUGGAAGAGUUUGGCAAGUAUACCACCUCGAACCAACUGUGUUACGCUCGCCUUGGUGCUGGCACAGAUGGGAAGAGAUGGAACACCUCA